rnacentral:lncRNA from 1 species
UGUAAUUUACUCCGACAUUACUCAGGGUUAAGUCAAUUAAAUGGAGGUAAACAUUUGCGACUAAAAACAUUUUCUCCCCCUUUCACUUUCGAUAAAAUAAACAUGUUAUAGUUGUAGUUGUUAUAUUUUUAAUUGUAUAUAUUGAAUAUUUUCUCCCCCUUUCACUUUCGGUAAGAGUAUGUUUGAUUGCUCGAAAGCGGGUGAAGUGAAGAAAGUAACUUUUAUAAAAGUUACUUUUACAAAAAUGAUUUUUCUGUUCGAUUGUUUAGUUAGUUAUAAAGUGAAAAAAUUAAACUAUAAUUUUAUAAUUUUAAUUAUUAAAUUAUUAUAUAUAAAGAUGUGAUAAUAUAAAUAAACAACUUAUACUAACAAUUUAAAUUAAAAAUUUAUAUUUAUAUUUAGAAUUCAAAAUUAUAUUUUAAAAUUUAAAUUUAAACUUAAAUCUAA